rnacentral:lncRNA from 1 species
UCGAGGGCCAUCGCUGUGAUAGUGUGAGCCGGGAUAAGUUUGAUGCUACCUCUUUUCUUUUGUUUGUUAUUUUCUUUGAAUAAGAGGAUUGAGAGUUUCUGAAUAUUAUAAAGUGAAUUAUGGAAUAGAAAUGUGAUUGGUAUUAUUUGAGAAGAAGAAAGAUUAAAUGCUGAAAUCUGAUUGUAGUUUAGUAGAGAGAAUGAGUCUGUAU